rnacentral:lncRNA from 1 species
ACACUCACUAAUAAUCGUAUUAAUCAUCUUCUCUUCAUCGAUGGAGUGUCAUGCAUGAUAUCAUAUCAAGGGUAAUACACACACAUACACACACACCAGCACACACAUACAAGCAUACACACACAGUAUAUAGACAAUAUUGUGUCACAGUGUGUAUAGUACAAUGUGUAUAUUGUGCUUGUUGUGCCACACAGUAAACCUUUCGAUCACCUAUAUAUAAGCGACACUCUCGUAUAAUAGGUAGGGACUGUCCCAGGUGAUGCAUCACCUACGUAUACGUAGGUGAUCAUGAUCUAAAGUUUUACUGUGCCACGCAUGGCCAUAUGGCCAUGGCACACACAAGCACACACACCUCGCGACAGGAUGACCAUCAUAUCACCAGACCAUGACUCCAGGAAUGGAGUAGAUAGAUAGCAAUAGGUGAGCCAUAUAUAAUCCACCUGGUAAAGGUGCUUAGGCCAGACACUUUAAA